rnacentral:snRNA from 1 species
GUGCUCGCUUUGGCAGCACAUAUACUAAAAUUGGAACGAUACAGAGAAGAUUAGCAUGGCCCCUGCACAAGGAUGACACACAAAUUCGUGAAGCGUUCCAGUAUUUA